ensembl:snoRNA SNORA73 Small nucleolar RNA SNORA73 family
CCAAUGUGGAUGCUCGUGGGUCCAGGAGCCCUAGGAGAGUGUAGGGCUCUGCCCUGUGAUGUACAGGCCUUUGGCACAACGGUGGAGAUGAAGGUGGGCCUGGAGUCUGCACCUGCGUAUUGCUAUGGAUGACAGCUGAGGAGAAAUAAUGCAGACAACAUCU